GGAGGGAACAACACAGUCGCCAUGCCUGACUAGGGCAUGACCUGGGAGGCCUUUGGGGCCACCUGCCCCGGAACCCGGGGACACGGCCUCCCUGGGAAAGGAGGAUCAGGUGGGCCUCACACCCGGGAAUUGGAAGUGGGAGAGACAACAGCUGCUGGGUAGUGGGGGUAGAGCUGUGUCUCUCACCACCCUGCCCCUCCAAGGACCGAGAAGAAAGGAAUGAGCCCUGAUCCGCCUGCCAGGUUGCUUCCAAGAUGGCCAGUGGUCACCUGAGAUGGAGCAGAGAGCAGCUGUGGCAGGCAUCUUCUCUAGAAGCUGCCUGUGAGCCCUGCGGAGGCCCCGGGCUUCGUGCCUUAAGACAGACAGCGUCCUGCAG
rnacentral:lncRNA from 1 species